UUCCUGUUGUGGCCCAGUGGGUUAAGAACCUGACAUAGUGUCCUUGAGGAUGUGGGUUCAAUCUCUGGCCUUGUUUAGUGGGUUAAGGAUCCAGCGUUGCCACAAGCUGCAGCGUAGAUUGUAGGUGCGGCUCCCAUUUGACCCCUAACCUGGGAACUUCCAUAUGCUGCAGGUGAGGCUGUAAAACAAAACAAAACAAAACAAAAAAAAGGGAAGAAGUAGUAGUUGUGGCAGAAUUGUAGAUAUUGUGUUGUUAAUAGAUUCAGAAAUAUUUGGUGGGGCAGUCUAAAAUUCCAUAAAUCUGAAUGAUAUGGAUUAUAAACAAGUGCGUCUGAAUUAGCAUUUUGUUCAUAUUUACCAGUUUUGUGGCUUGAAAGAUGUGAUUUUAGUCAUGACAUAGUUGAUUAGACCUGUGAAAAAAUGACCUAUCAUUAUAUUUUUCCCACUUGGCUAAAGGAAUUUCAGACUAAGAAGUUUUUAAGUACAAAAUUAGUAUUUUCAAAAGUAGCUUUUUUCUCUUGGGUUGGAGAUUACAUUCAUUAAACAAAAAAUGGUAAGAAACUAAAUAUGAUUUAAAAUGAGAUUGAAAAAAAUAAUGGAGUUCCUGCUAUGGUUUCAUGAACCAGCUCUCUGGUGGCCCUGGUUUGAUCCCUGGCCUGGGGACUCCAUAAACUAUAGGUGCUCCCUCCCUUCCCCCAUGUAAGUAAAUAAGAGAAGAUUGAUUCGAGUUUCAAUCACAAAUUAAAAAUGUGGCCUAUUUAUUGAAAAAUGUAUAAACUUUUCAUGGUAAUAAAAAUAUGAAAUGUUAGUUGGGAGUUCCUGUCGUGGUGCAGUGGUUAACGAAUCCGACUAGGAACCAUGAGGUUGCGGGUUCGGUCCCUGGCCUUGCUCAGUGGGUUAAUCGAUCCGGCAUUGCCGUGAGCUGUGGUGUAGGUUGCAGACACGGCUCGGAUCUAGUGUUGCUGUGGCUCUGGCGUAGGCUGGUGGCUACAGCUCUGAUUCAACCCCUAGCCUGGGAACCUCCAUAUGCCGUGGGAGCGGCCCAAGAAAU
rnacentral:lncRNA from 1 species